GGAGAGAUGGCCGAGAGGCUGAAGGCGACGGUUUGCUAAACCGUUAUACGGGGUCAAACCCGUAUCCGGGGUUCGAAUCCCCGUCUCUCCG
rnacentral:tRNA from 1 species